rnacentral:rRNA from 1 species
CAGCCGCCGCGGUAAUACGAAGGGGGCUAGCGUUGUUCGGAAUUACUGGGCGUAAAGCGCACGUAGGCGGAUAUUUAAGUCAGAUGUGAAAUCCCCGGGCUCAACCUGGGAACUACAUUUGAGACUGUAUGGCUAGAGUGUGUCAGAGGGGGGUAGAAUUCCACGUGUAGCGGUGAAAUGCGUAGAUAUAUGGAGGAACACCGGUGGCGAAAGCGGCUCUCUGGCUUGUAACUGACGCUGAGGCUCGAAAGCGUGGGGAGCAAACAGGAUUAGAUACCCGGGUAGUCCCUGUCUCUUAUAA